rnacentral:sRNA from 1 species
GCCAGGCGUGGUGGUGCACGCCUGUAAUCCCAGCAAUUUGGGAGGCUGAGGCAGGAGGAUUGGAAGUUGGAGGCCAGUCUCAGCAACUCAGUGAGGCCCUGUCUCAA